GCCUGGUCGGCUUAGUCGGUUAAGCACCCGACUUUGGCUCAGGUCAUGAUCUUACAGUUUGUGGGUUUGAGCCCCUCAUCAGGUU
rnacentral:tRNA from 1 species